UAGUAACGGCGAGUGAAGCGGCAACAGCUCAAAUUUGAAAUCUGGCGUCUUCGGCGUCCGAGUUGUAAUUUGCAGAGGGCGCUUUGGCAUUGGCAGCGGUCCAAGUUCCUUGGAACAGGACGUCACAGAGGGUGAGAAUCCCGUACGUGGUCGCUAGCCUUUACCGUGUAAAGCCCCUUCGACGAGUCGAGUUGUUUGGGAAUGCAGCUCUAAAUGGGAGGUAAAUUUCUUCUAAAGCUAAAUACUGGCCAGAGACCGAUAGCGCACAAGUAGAGUGAUCGAAAGAUGAAAAGCACUUUGGAAAGAGAGUUAAAAAGCACGUGAAAUUGUUGAAAGGGAAGCGCUUGCAGCCAGACUUGCCUGUAGUUGCUCAUCCGGGUUUCUACCCGGUGCACUCUUCUAUAGGCAGGCCAGCAUCAGUUUGGGCGGUUGGAUAAAGGUCUCUGUCAUGUACCUCUCUUCGGGGAGAACUUAUAGGGGAGACGACAUGCAACCAGCCUGGACUGAGGUCCGCGCAUCUGCUAGGAUGCUGGCGUAAUGGCUGUAAGCGGCCCGUCUUGAAACACGGACCAAGGAGUCUAACAUCUAUGCGAGUGUUUGGGUGUCAAGCCCGAGCGCGUAAUGAAAGUGAACGGAGGUGGGAACCUUUCGGGGUGCACCAUCGACCGAUCCUGAUGUCUUCGGAUGGAUUUGAGUAAGAGCAUAGCUGUUGGGACCCGAAAGAUGGUGAACUAUGCUUGAAUAGGGUGAAGCCAGAGAAACUCUGGUGGAGGCUCGCAGCGGUUCUGACGUGCAAAUCGAUCGUCAAAUUUGGGCAUAGGGGCGAAAGAC
rnacentral:rRNA from 1 species